rnacentral:rRNA from 1 species
AUUGAACGCUGGCGGCAUGCCUUACGCAUGCAAGCCGAACGGCAGCACGGGUGCUUGCACCUGGUGGCGAGUGGCGAACGGGUGAGUAAUACAUCGGAACGUACCUUAUCGUGGGGGAUAACGCAGCGAAAGCUGUGCUAAUACCGCAUACGCCCUGAGGGGGAAAGCGGGGGAUCGAAAGACCUCGCGCGAUUAGAGCGGCCGAUGCCUGAUUAGCUUGUUGGUGGGGUAAAAGCCCACCAAGGCGACGAUCAGUAGCUGGUCUGAGAGGACGAUCAGCCACACUGGGACUGAGACACGGCCCAGACUCCUACGGGAGGCAGCAGUGGGGAAUUUUGGACAAUGGGGGCAACCCUGAUCCAGCAAUGCCGCGUGAGUGAAGAAGGCCUUCGGGUUGUAAAGCUCUUUUGUCAGGGAAGAAACACCGGCUCUAACACAGUCCGGGAAUGACGGUACCUGAAGAAUAAGCACCGGCUAACUACGUGCCAGCAGCCGCAGUAA